rnacentral:rRNA from 1 species
CAAGUGGUAGGAGAGCGUUCUAUUUGCGCCGAAGGUAUACCGGUAAGGAGUGCUGGAGCGAAUAGAAGUGAGCAUGCAGGCAUGAGUAGCGAUAAUUAAUGUGAGAAUCAUUAACGCCGUAAACCCAAGGUUUCCUACGCGAUGCUCGUCAUCGUAGGGUUAGUCGGGUCCUAAGUCGAGUCCGAAAGGGGUAGACGAUGGCAAAUUGGUUAAUAUUCCAAUACCAACAUUAGUGUGCGAUGGAAGGACGCUUAGGGCUAAGGGGGCUAGCGGAUGGAAGUGCUAGUCUAAGGUCGUAGGAGGUUAUACAGGCAAAUCCGUAUAACAAUACUCCGAGAACUGAAAGGCUUUUUGAAGUCUUCGGAUGGAUAGAAGAACCCCUGAUGCCGUCGAGCCAAGAAAAGUUUCUAAGUUUAGCUAAUGUUGCCCGUACCGUAAACCGACACAGGUGGGUGGGAUGAGUAUUCUAAGGCGCGUGGAAGAACUCUCUUUAAGGAACUCUGCAAAAUAGCACCGUAUCUUCGGUAUAAGGUGUGGUUCGCUUCGUAUUAGGAUUUACUCCGAAAGCGAAGAAACUUACAACAAAGAGUCCCUCCCGACUGUUUACCAAAAACACAGCACUCUGCUAACUCGUAAGAGGAUGUAUAGGGUGUGACGCCUGCCCGGUGCUCGAAGGUUAAUUGAUGGGGUUAGCAUUAGCGAAGCUCUUGAUCGAAGCCCGAGUAAACGGCGGCCGUAACUAUAACGGUCCUAAGGUAGCGAAAUUCCUUGUCGGUUAAAUACCGACCUGCAUGAAUGGCGUAACGAGAUGGGAGCUGUCUCAAAGAGGGAUCCAGUGAAAUUGUAGUGGAGGUGAAAAUUCCUCCUACCCGCGGCAAGACGGAAAGACCCCGUGGACCUUUACUACAGCUUGACACUGCUAUUUGGAUAAGAAUGUGCAGGAUAGGUGGGAGGCUUUGAGUAUAUGACGCCAGUUGUAUAUGAGCCAUUGUUGAGAUACCACUCUUUCUUAUUUGGGUAGCUAACCAGCUUGAGUUAUCCUCAAGUGGGACAAUGUCUGGUGGGUAGUUUGACUGGGGCGGUCGCCUCCCAAAUAAUAACGGAGGCUUACAAAGGUUGGCUCAGAACGGUUGGAAAUCGUUCGUAGAGUAUAAAGGUAUAAGCCAGCUUAACUGCAAGACAUACAAGUCAAGCAGAGACGAAAGUCGGUCUUAGUGAUCCGGUGGUUCUGUGUGGAAGGGCCAUCGCUCAAAGGAUAAAAGGUACCCCGGGGAUAACAGGCUGAUCUCCCCCAAGAGCUCACAUCGACGGGGAGGUUUGGCACCUCGAUGUCGGCUCAUCGCAUCCUGGGGCUGGAGCAGGUCCCAAGGGUAUGGCUGUUCGCCAUUUAAAGCGGUACGCGAGCUGGGUUCAGAACGUCGUGAGACAGUUCGGUCCCUAUCUGCCGUGGGCGUAAGAAGAUUGAAGAGAUUUGACCCUAGUACGAGAGGACCGGGUUGAACAAACCACUGGUGUAGCUGUUGUUCUGCCAAGAGCAUCGCAGCGUAGCUAAGUUUGGAAAGGAUAAACGCUGAAAGCAUCUAAGCGUGAAGCCAACUCUAAGAUGAAUCUUCUCUAAGCUCUCUAGAAGACUACUAGUUUGAUAGGCUGGGUGUGUAAUGGAUGAAAGUCCUUUAGCUGACCAGUACUAAUAGAGCGUUUGGCUUAUCUUUAAUAAAGCAU